CCUUCUGACAAAUACUGACGCUGAGAUGCGAAGCGUGGGGAGCAAACAGGAUUAGAUACCUGGUAGUCACGCUGUAAACGAUGUCGAUUUGGAGUUUGGGGGCAUGACCCUUGGGCUCCGGAGCUAACGCGUUAAAUCGACCGCUGGGGAGUACGGCCGCAAGGUUAAAACUCAAAUGAAUUGACGGGGGCCCGCACAAGCGGUGGAGCAUGUGGUUUAAUUCGAUGCAACGCGAAGAACCUUACCUGGUCUUGACAUCCAUAGAAUCUUUCAGAGAUGAGAGAGUGCCUUCGGGAGCUAUGAGACAGGUGCUGCAUGGCUGUCGUCAGCUCGUGUUGUGAAAUGUUGGGUUAAGUCCCGCAACGAGCGCAACCCCUAUCCUUUGUUGCCAGCACGUAAUGGUGGGAACUCAAAGGAGACUGCCGUUGAUAAAGCGGAGGAAGGUGGGGACGACGUCAAGUCAUCAUGGCCCUUACGACCAGGGCUACACACGUGCUACAAUGGCGUAUACAAAGGGAUGCGAAGGUGCGAACUGGAGCGGACCUCACAAAGUACGUCUAAGUCCGGAUUGGAGUCUGCAACUCGACUCCAUGAAGUCGGAAUCGCUAGUAAUCGUGAAUCAGAAUGUCACGGUGAAUACGUUCCCGGGCCUUGUACACACCGCCCGUCACACCAUGGGAGUGGGUUGCACCAGAAGUAGAUAGCUUAACCUUCGGGAGGGCGUUUACCACGGUGUGGUUCAUGACUGGGGUGAAGUCGUAACAAGGUAACCA
rnacentral:rRNA from 1 species